rnacentral:snRNA from 1 species
UUACUUACCUGGCAAGGGAGAUACCAUGAUCAUGAAGGUGGUUUUCCCAGGCUUAUCCAUUGCACUCCAGAUGUGUAGACCCCUGCGAUUUCCCCAAAUGAGGGAAAUUCGACUGCAUGAUUUGUGGUGGGGGGGAUUGCGUUUGUGCUCUCCCUUG